GGUGGGCCUAACAUGGUAGACCUGAUAGAGAGAUGGAGGGAUGGAUGGAGGAUCUAACAUGGUAGACCUGAUAGAGAGAUGGAGGAUCUAACAUGGUAGACCUGAUAGAGAGAUGGAGGAUCUAACAUGGUAGACCUGAUAGAGGGAUGGAGGGAGGGAUGGAUGGAGGAUCUAACAUGGUAGACCUGAUAGAGGGAUGGAGGAUCUAACAUGGUAGACCUAAUAGAGAGAUGGAGGAUCUAACAUGGUAGACCUGAUAGAGGGAUGGAGGAUCUAACAUGGUAGACCUGAUAGAGAGAUGGAGGGAGGGAUGGAUGGAGGAUCUAACAUGGUAGACCUGAUAGAGAGACGGAUGGAGGGAUGGAGGACCUGAUAGAGAGACGGAUAUGUAAUAUUCCCAGAACUGUGAACCCCUGAGCUUGCCUGGGUUAAUGGACCGAUAUAAUAUUCCCAGAACUGUGAACCCGCCCAUCUGGUACUCCAGGCAGGCUAGAGCAAAACGCUCAACGGGAUUUGAAAGAUUUAGAAUAGUAUUUAAACCCAUGUCUGAGAGAGAGAGAGAGAGAGAGAGAGAGAGAGAGAGAAAAAAAAAGGUGGAAAAGAAAAAAACAGACUUCUAACAUGGUAGACCGCUGAGGAAGACGGGUAGUAUGAGAGGUACGAUGUGUUUGUAUAAAGGACUUCACCACUGCGAGUAACACUUCCUCCCGAUUCGGCUCGUACCUGGCGCGAACUCAGGACCUCUGCCUUUCUAGCACAUGUGGCUGCCCUCCUGAAUCGCCUUACUAGUCGGUGCCACACAAAGAAAACCUAGUGUUUGUGUUUGUAUGCGUGUUGUGUUGUGUUGUGUUGUGUCUCCCAGGGUGUCCAGUCUACCAUCUGGCCCCAGCCAUCUCCAGGACUGAGCAACAGGGCACCAGGGGUGAUGGCCGGGUCCUUCCCCCAGACAGAGGGCCCAUGGCUGGGCAACCAUCUGUGGUUUGGUGGCCUCUAGGCUGGAGGUCACUGGGUCUCUCCAGGGGCACAGAAAUACAGGGAAACUACCUGAGGGGGAUCUUCCUGUACACACACACACACACACACACACACACACACACACACACACACACACACACACACACACACACACACACACACACACAUACAGACACCCCCACAUUAGUAAUGUAAUGUAAUAUUGAAAUGCAAUAACGGAGCAAUGUGUAAAUGUGUUUAUUUCACACUGUUUUGUUUAAUGUAAUGUUUUAUCUCUGUUUCGACCCCAGGAGGAGUAUAUCGUAGAGGCUUCUUCAGUUUGCCCCCAUAGGGGAACCCUUUUUACUGCUGGGUAGAACCUUUUUUAGAGGAUUAUACCUAGAACCCUCUGUGUAGGGUUCUUCAUAGAACCCACGUAUAUGGUUCUUCCUAGAACCCUCUGUGUAGGGUUCUUCAUAGAACCCACGUAUAUGGUUCUUCCUAGAACCCUCUGUGUAGGGUUCUUCAUAGAACCCCGUAUAUGGUUCUUCCUAGAACACUCUGUGUACGGUUCUUCAUAGAACCCACUGUACAGUAUAUGGUUCUUCCUAGAACCCUCUAUGAACGGUUCCACCAUCCUUAUUAGCCUUUAAAAAUAAGUUGUUUAUGAACAUACAUCACAUAUAUCAUGAGGCCUUUCUUUGAGGGCCUAGUUAUACACAGUGGCGUUAGGAAACUCCUGGUUUACAGGCCACAUUAGGCCGGCAAGUCACAUUAUGUGGGCUUGGAAAGUGAUGUGUAAUUCCUAUUGGAAUCCAGCCAGAGUUAGGAUAUCCAACAAGCGGAAUUGUUAAUCACCUGCAACCUGCAUUCAGAAUGACUGCCAGGGUAGGGAAGAUUGAAUGCUGAGACUACGUAAACUAUCUGAUUAACGGAUGCAAAAAAUCCAACUACUAACAGAUUGGAUUAGUUUAGAAAACGAUGUUAUUUAUCUUUGUGUGGCAUAAAAUUAAUCAACCAAUCGGUGUACAUGCAAAAACACAGG
rnacentral:lncRNA from 1 species